rnacentral:misc_RNA from 1 species
GCAGGCACGCAAGCUGUCAAACGACAGACGCGUGAGCACCGCAGACUGUUAGAUUGUCAUAUCGGCAUUCGGAUGCAAAAAGGAAAAAGCUAAAGGGAAAAAACCGGGACAGAGUUGCACAGGGAAUCAGGGGAGCAAAAGAAAGUUGCAAGAGAGAGCGAGAGAGAGGUAAGGAAGAGAGGGAAACAAACAAUAGACGGAGAACUGCGGGGUAUAGGCCUCUAGAGGGUACUGAACCGGGUUUUGGAACCAUGCUAACCACUUACAUCAGUAAUUAAUAUCAGUCCACUUUGCAUGCAC